GUCUAUGGUCAUACCACCCUGAACGCACCCGAUCUCGUCUGAUCUCAGAAGCUAAUCAGGGUCGGGCCUGGUUAGUACUAGAACCAGCAGUUAGCGUAAUGGCUAUGUCGCUGGACUCC
rnacentral:rRNA from 1 species